rnacentral:lncRNA from 1 species
CAUGAUAAACAAUUGAUCGACAUAUUUUCUUUUACCAUCAAAAUGAUGAAGAGAAAUGCAUUCUUGUGUUUUUACACAAACACAUUUAGGCAAUAAAUCCUGACGAAAAUAUUUACUUUGAUGCAGUUGCCAUAUCAUGUGACCAAAUGAGAAGUCCACUUGCUUAUCUCAUUCGCUUCUUGAUUCCUGAAGAUAUCCACAUCAGAUUGCUAUUUCUAAAAGGUGUUUUAUCCUGAGAAAGAAGUAGAAUAUAUUAGUCGGUGGUACAAGGUAUACGAUUGUUCAAAAAUAAUUUAUGGUAUAUAUACAACCGAGGGUUCGAGAUGAUGAUAAAAGUAUCAGGUACAAAAGUUUAAAAAAAUGUCACAUAACACAAUGAAGAUUAGGAGCUACCUAUAGAUAUAACUUUCAAUAUCUAGAGAACCAUAGUAUUCUGAAUUUUGGCAUCGGUGGAUAGAAUUCCGCGCAAACUAUAACACUGUUUGUUCUUAAUAGCGGUAUCAAUCUGACCGUCAAACUGAACCGGAUUAGUCAAUGAUCCACUGAGCAGGAGUUUACCCAGUUUCAAAAAACAUAAAAUUUCCAUGCUCCAGUUUUAAUGUGAAAAGGGUACACAUGUUAGCACACUUCAUUCAUCCAAAUACAUUCAACAUCUACCGAAUUGUCAUUGCAUGAGAAAUUCAGGUUUUAAUCUUAUGCAUAGAACCUCAUGUAGCCUGAAUGGUACACUUCGGAUGCAUUCAACAUCAAAUGAAGUGUACUAAAUGGAUCUGGAUGUACCCUUCAGUUUUAAUUCGGUUGUUAUUAUUCAUAUUCAAACUGAUGCAUACAAGCUCAUAUAGCCUGAAAUUGUCAGCACAUCAGAUUUCAAAUAAAGUGUACCCUUCAAUUUUAAUCCAAAUAAACAUCCAGAUCCCGAACUCUGAAUAAAAAUGCAUAGAAGCCAAUGUAGGAACUGUCAGCAUGUAAUUCCCCAAUUCCUUCAUCCGGACCAUUCAACAUAAACCGAAUUCAAGAACACAUAUUAUAUACAUUCUGAAUGAACACCACAAAAUCAAAUAAAUUACAAACCACAUAGUAAUCGAGAACACACCAUAUCAUGGAAGCUCACCGGUGGUAGACUGCUUUGUAUCCUCACUGCAAAAACUCGUGCGUCAUACGGAAGGAGGUGGACCUACGGCAGGAUGCGGGUGAGAAGACCGGGGAGAUGAGAUGACGAGUAGGAGAGUCAUCAGCAGCACAGCGCAGUGCGGGCGCCGGGAGCAGCAAGCAACAAAGGCAAGCAGCAGCGGCAAGCAAAGAAACCACCAGCAGCAAGCGGCAAAGCAAGCAGCCAGCAGCGGCAACAACAACAAGCAGCAAAGCAAGCCAGCAACGAACAGCAGCAGCAAGCAGGCAGAAGAGGGCAAAGGCAACUCCUCACCUUACUGUUCGUUGCAGCUGAGUCAGACAGAUCAGGGAGGCGAGAGGACGGACAACAGCAAGUUUCAGACGGCGUCAAUGGCAGUCAGGGAGGUGACAUAAUUUUGGCAUAUCAUGCAUGUAUUGAUAACUUGUGAUUCCAUUCUCAUUUGAAAUAAUAUUUGACCAAUAAUUAUUGGCCUCUGAUCCAAUAUGGAGAGGAAAAUGGCAAUAAUCUAGUUUGGACUUUUUGAAAUUUAGAACAAGUGUGCAAGUUUAAAUUUGAGCAAAAAUUGUUCUUGUGAUUUUUUUUUAAAAAUCAAGAAAUUUGUGCUAUUUUGGUUAUAAUUUUUUAGGUCUCUGCUCAGACAGAUGUUGCACGUACACACUUACUGGUAUGGUGAAAACUCAAGUAUUGUGAUCUAUGUUAAAAAGAUGAGUUGGUCGCCAAAAUUGUUGCUUGUUUUAAGCACUAAAAUUUGUCCUUUUUAUUGGGUAAACAUAUAUGGCAGGAGUGCACACCAUAGUAACAAAAACAAGUACACAUAUUUUUAGAUUUUUUAAUUUUCAUUUCUAUUUAUUUUGAAUUUACUACCAAAACUCCUUGCCUAGAUAAUAUUGAGUGCCUUAAUUUUACUUACUAGUACAUGAUUUGUUGUGACUAUAUAUAUAUAUAUAUAUAUAUAUAUAUAUAUAUAUCUUUGCUUGUUCACAUCCUAAUGGUGUGUGGGCCACCACAGAGCAAAAGUAACUCAACACAGACGUUAUAUACUCAAGGCUAGAUUUCUACAUAAAUACAUCAUCAUUUGUAGAUCUUCCUACCCCAACCCGACCCCCAUAUGCUCCUCUUGGCCAUUUCCUAUGGUUACUUUNNNNNNNNNNNNNNNNNNNNNNNNNNNNNNNNNNNNNNNNNNNNNNNNNNNNNNNNNNNNNNNNNNNNNNNNNNNNNNNNNNNNNNNNNNNNNNNNNNNNNNNNNNNNNNNNNNNNNNNNNNNNNNNNNNNNNNNNNNNNNNNNNNNNNNNNNNNNNNNNNNNNNNNNNNNNNNNNNNNNNNNNNNNNNNNNNNNNNNNNNNNNNNNNNNNNNNNNNNNNNNNNNNNNNNNNNNNNNNNNNNAAUCACCCGCCGUCGAUCGCAUAAAGCCGCCCACUACCUGGAAUCCUGCCAGUCAAUGGCUCCUGCCCACCUCCACCUCUGACGAUCUACUCACCUAGAAACUUGGUCCUGGACCAGUAGCUCCUUAUGAUCUAGUCAAUUUUGAUCUCAUGAACUACCCCGUCUAGGAGCUCUGUCGGUGAUCUGCAUCUUUCCCGCGACGAGAAGCUCCUCCCAAGCCCGAGGUGACCUUGCUGUCAAACCAUCAAGAUACCAUUUUGUGAGAAAUUGAUAGCGUUUGUACAUGAUUUCUUCCUAUGUGGAUGGGGAUGGCCCCAAAUGACUUAUUAUUUGUAGUGGAUCCAUGAUAAAUUUUGCAUGAUAGUACAAAUCUGAUUUGAUACAUAGAUAAUUGUACUGGAUGUAUAACUAAUUCUGUAAAUGUAUGUUAACUGACUGAAUGAUAUAACAGUGAGCAUAUUUUUAAUAACAAUGCCAUGCAUAUAGAUUCUGGGGCAAUAUAGAAAUUACACAUCUCAUAAGUUUUUGGUAAUGUGAUUUUCCCCUAGUUCCAUCGCUGAUCCCCUAUAUGACCACCAUGGAGAGGAAACGCUAGGGGCAACAUGAGGGGUAGGAUCGGCAUGAGUUGCAACAUCAGGGUAAUAAGAGGAGUUGUUGUCAUUGCAGGAGUUGCAGAAGUGGCAGCUGCAGGGGAAACAUGAAUGUCAGGAGUCAUGGUGGAGUAGCAUGAGUGGUAGCACAAGUGGUUGUAGUGGUAGAGGAAAUGCCAGGAGUUGUCGUUCUAGUGGCAAUAGUUGUAGUUGUCGUUGUAGUAGUAGUAGGAGCACCGGCAUUUGCAAUGGCAGCAACAGUGUGAGGAGUGGCAAUAGGAGUAUUAGGGGCAACAACAUCAGCAACCGUGGCAGUGGUCGCAGGAGUAGUGGAAGCAGCAAUGCCAACAAUGGAAAUGACAAGGGGAGUGGAAGUGGUGGUAGUGGCAGUAGUCGUGGCAGUUGAAGCAGGGGCAAGAGCCUUGGUAGCUACAGCUAUAGUUUCAAGAGUGGUUACCUCAGUGGCAUCAAUAGUUUGGGCAGUAGGAGGAGUAGGGGCAACAGCAAUGGCAACAACAGCAUAAGUGGUCACAGGAGGAGUAGGGGCAAGAGCAGGAGCGGUGGUAGAGACUACGCUAACCAUGCAUAUGGAUUUUAUACCCUUGUCGUAUGUUUCAAGGUACAAACAAUUCAACAUCCUUUUUGUAUUCCAUGACAACGAAGGUGGUGAUAUCCCAAUGCAAGAAUAUGAAAUGGGGUAAUUUAAUUGUCGAUGGUUUAUGAGCGAGAUAUUUGAGGCACAUGGCCUGAAUCUUAGUUGGGCUAUUUCUUUUUUCAAGAAUGAUUAAUUUGUGUCUGAGGACGGGUGCUUUGUCACCAUUGUCAAAGUAUCGAUGGAGAUAGCAAUAAUUGAUAACCAAUAUUUGUAUCCCCUUCAUAUCACAAGUUGGAUCUCCUAUAGGUACAUUGAAAAUGUAAUGAUUCCUCCAUAUUUUUUUAGAAUUUAUUGAUAAAGUGCAUCAACCCCCAGGUGAAAUUGAACAUGAUUGAUUAAUCAUCCCGCAGGUUCUAAAAAUACAUCUGUUUUUUAUAGAACUAGAGAAAUGGGUAAUGUUGUUGAGUAAUAUUAUAAGUGGUAUAAAGAAGUGGAUGAGAAUUCACGGGGUGGACUUCUUAAGCGAGCUAAUUGUAAUAUCUACCCUAAUUGGCAUCUGGGUACAAUCCAUGAAAGCACCCUUCUGCGUGCGUUGUACUGAGAUGGCAGAGAGCACCUAUCUCUAAGAUAUCAUUAUACUAGGCUUAUGGUCAAAAUAAUAGAAUAUAUCGACUCACCUAUGAGGACGAUUAUUUAGUGAUUUUACAACAUAUUCUUUGUUCACGGGCUACAGAUUUUGGAGGUAUGCCAUUGAAAGUUCUUAACAUUAACUAUUUCUGAUCUUAAUGAUUAUUGCUCACAUGCUUUUAUUUUGUGUAGUCGCACUAAGAGUUAAUGAUUUCACUAUUUAUAAUGAACUUUUUAACUUCAUUGUAACUACUCUUGUGACUGAAACCAUGCCAUUUGUUGAUAUAUAUAUAUAUCCUAUUGUGUGUGUUAUAUGUACUUCCUUUUUAAGUAUUCCUAGAAUAUUAAUAAUGUAAUCUAUUAAGAGAAAUAUUUGUGUACAACUUGAAUAUUUGUCAUUGCAAACACACUUUGUUGUGCUCAAAUGUAAAUGUAUCUUUAUGUAGUUUUUAUUUCCUUUAUUUUUGUGGUAUGCUUAAUUUUUAAAAUUGGUUUUACUUUAGAUCCAAGCAAACCGAAACACUACAUUAUUUAUGGGCAUCGAUGGAUUAUAGUAGAUUUAUAUGUGUCCCCGUUCAUACUAUCCUUCAAUAUUCACAAACUCUUGGUAAUAUUGUUCUGAUCUUUAUGAACCUAACAAAUAAUUUGGUUGAAACUACUAGAGAAGAACUCUAACAAGUUUUUGGUCUAACCAAAUAAAGAUAGUAAACUGUGUGUGAUAUCAAUUGGUAGAUGUUUCCUGAAUCCUCUCAUUUGAUAUCGUUGUUGCUUAUAUCUUUGUCAAAGUUGUCCUCAUUUGGUGGUGGGGGAGAGUAGAAUUGUGAUAUAUACUUGGUACUUUCAAGGGGAAGAUCCUUAAAAUAUUCUCACAUCUACUAAAGUUGGAGGAGUCCAAGUCAUGUUGUGCAAGAAGAUUAAGAUUAUGGGAUGGUAACACUGAUGUACACCCCUAUAUAAGGGCACCCCACGCUAAGAUGAAUGACACAUUGAUCAUCUCCCAAAGACCUCAAUUUGCUAGAUAGCCAGCCCAAUCUGGAAAUCCUGCCGAGAUCAUUCGGAACUCGCCAAUUAACCUUAUACUCGUCGAGCCGUCAUUGCACUAUCCCAUGAUAUAAUCACAUUACUCGCGUAAAGGGGGCAUAACCUCGGUAAAAUAUGUACCCCAUGUCCACUACUAGGGAAAAUCUUAUACACAGAACAUUAGCAGUAGCGCGGGCUAAAAAUGCACGUUGGUGCUAAUUAGCAGCAGCGUGGUGUUUUAAACCGCACUACAGAUACAGUUAUAGCAGUAGCGCGCCCUAGUACAAAAGCGCUACUACUAAAAUUCCCACGGGUUAGCCGAUAGGCUACACAUAGUAGUAGUGAUCUACGUAGAACCGCGCUACUGCUACUUGUUUUGUAGCAGCGCGUUUACGAACAAAGGCGCUACUGCUAACGAAAAUAAAAUUAAAUGGAAAGCAAAUAAAAAAGAGAAGGAAUAGCAGUAGCGCUUGUUAAGAAACGCGCUAUAGCUACCGUAGCAGCAGCGCACUUCCUGGAACGCGCUACUCCUACUUUUAACUUAACCGCGCGGUUCGUUCUUCCCCCACGGACACUUCCCCCAAAUCCUACUCCUCCGGUGUCGCCGCCCUGCAUCGCCGUCGGCCGCCACGCGCGACCCGUUGCUCUCCCCACAUCCUCGACGCCGCCCCCGCCCCCGACCGCGACCUCGACACCGCCCCCGACCCCGACCUCGACGCCCCCCUACAUCGCCGCCCUCCGUCGUGCGCCCGGUGCCNNNNNNNNNNNNNNNNNNNNNNNNNNNNNNNNNNNNNNNNNNNNNNNNNNNNNNNNNNNNNNNNNNNNNNNNNNNNNNNNNNNNNNNNNNNNNNNNNNNNNNNNNNNNNNNNNNNNNNNNNNNNNNNNNNNNNNNNNNNNNNNNNNNNNNNNNNNNNNNNNNNNNNNNNNNNNNNNNNNNNNNNNNNNNNNNNNNNNNNNNNNNNNNNNNNNNNNNNNNNNNNNNNNNNNNNNNNNNNCUCCUCCUCCCCUACCUCUGCCUAGCUAGGGUUCUUAGGGUUAAAUUUCAGAGUUCAUCUAAUUAGUUAGGGUUCAUCAAAUUAGAUGCUAAUUAUGGCAGUAGUUGUUAAAUAGAAUUAGUUUUAGAGUUCAUCGAAUUAGUUAGGGUUAACUCUUAGAGUUCAUCAAAUUAGUUAGGGUUAAAUUUUAGAGUUCAUCAAAUUAGUUAGGGUUCAUUAAAUUUUAGAGUUCAUCAAAUUAGUUAGGGUUAAAUUUUAGAGUUCAUCAAAUUACUUAGGGUUCAUUAAAUUUUAGAGUUCAUCGGUUAGGGUUAAAUUUUAGAGUUCAUCUAACUAGUUUUUUUUACUAUUUUUAGUAAGUGUUUAAUAGAAUUAGUAAGAAAAUUAAUAUAACUAGUUGAACUAGUUUAUUUUUAUUCAUAGUAAGUGCUUAAUUGAACUAGUUGAGUUAAUACAACUAUUUUAUUUUUAGUACAAAAAUUAAUAGAAGUAGUUUACUUUUUAGUUAAAGGAAUUAUUCCCGCAUCGACGUCGACGAUGCUUAUCCCGCAUCCUUGUCGUCGAGUCGGCGGAGAACACCUGCGUCACCAGAUGGGUCAUGUCCGGGACUGGGCUCCGCCGGGGUGGUAUUGGGAGGCGCUACCUACCGGGGGCGCAGGUUGGUGAGGAGUCAGCCUGUCGUUGACCCGAACCUUCUUUGGUGGCGGUCGCAUGGGCCAGUGACAGUCCAAAGCUCGAGGACCCCGCGAAGGUGGUGCGUCACCGUGUCAGUGAGGAGGACGCGCACGUCCGUCGCUACUUGUUUGCGUUGGAGCAUAGGUUCUCCAAUACCUGGCAGGUUCUCCAGGGAUCUCACUGGAGCGAUGAUCCUGUGAUGGUUCCUUCUCUGUGGGUGUCCACCGCCCGCGCCGAUACCCGUCGUGCGCUAGGGUUUUAGUUGUAUUAGUGAUGUUAUAUGUAUGAUACUAUUCGGGAUGUAUUAGUGAUAAUAUUCGAUGAUGUACGGACGCAUGAGAUGAUUUACUUUUGCUUAUUGAAUGCAUGCUAAAAAUUUGAAUACUUACUUAUUUUAUGAUUUGGUUUUGCUUAUUGAAUGCUCAUGUCAAUAUGAGUCCUAUAAGAUAUUUUGAAGUGUAUAUCUUGUGUUGCUCAAAUAGGAUAUGUGCUUGCCCAAGUGGCCGGUCAUGUUUGCAGGUUACACCUCCGAGUGGCCUAUGUUUUGCUGGAGUGUUGAUUCAUUUUCGUUCCAGCAAAUUUCAGGCGCUCGAUAUGUCCUAUUUUAGCAAAGGUCAUGCCGGAUUUUUCCGUGAAUUUUGGCAUGACUUGUGCCAGAAUAUGUAGGAAAUAUUGAGUGUCCCAGAUUUGUGUGUUGAGUAUCCUGAUAGUUGUCUUCGAUCGAUUUUCAAUUAAUGUUUCAACUAUGAACAUAGAAAAUGUCUGACGACGAAAAGGAUUUUGGUAUUUGCAAGUACUGCGAAGACGAGCGCGGCUUGUGCGACGGAAUCUUCCUAGAUGAUGAUAGGCGCUUCAGCAUCAAGCUGGAUGAGAACUUCGAAGUGGAUACAGUAAGUCACAAUGGCAAGUCUUUUUUCGUAAUUAAGCAUGACAUCUCCUUCAUUUGCUUCAACUUAUAAUUUAAUUUUUUUACUAUUCUACUAGCAUAUCUCCUGCCAUGCAAGAGUUUUUGUCUUGGAUAAGAUAGGUUUCAGUCGUACUAUGGAGGUAAAGAAAGUUUACUUGAAGACCGAGCAUGGUUAUAUUUUCCACGCAACGACUACACCUAUUUUGGAUGCAAAACUUGGCGAGCACUAUGCAAGACUUAUGCAUUUGAGCCUGAUAUGGUUAUCACCUUUGAUAUUCGUCCAGAAGAUGAUAUUGAAGGUAAUACCGACAUCUGGGUCGAUGUGCAGACGCCUCCAGUUAUACCAUUAUGUGAGUUUCUUAACCAUAUUUAUGUCUUUGAUAUUGUUUAUUCAAAAAUAGUUGACAACUAAUUUCUAUUGUCAGCUUAUUUCCGUUCAAGCAAACAUGACCAGCGCUUGGUAGACAGGAGCUACUACUGUCCCGGGGCUGAACUAAACUGCGAGGAGCUAAGUCAUUAUGUUUCAUGGCUUCAGGAUCUUGAUACUGUCAAGACAAAUUUUCUUCCUGCACUUAGAAACGUUAGUACUGAAAACGUGCGACCAAUAGUGUUUGUACUGAACUAGGGUCACAUCUAUUUAGGAAAGAUGGUAAGAUUUUUACUAUUCGUCCUCAGUUCAUCUUUUGCGUACAUUAUUUUUUAAGCUAAACGUCAUUGCUAAGUAUGUUACUAUAUGAUGUCCUUCAACAGGGACUCCCGAUGAAUGUUGUGCCUGAUUGGAUCGAGACUAAAGGUACCAUGAAUAUUGUUAGCUUACGGCCAAGAUAUCCUACAAUGCACUUUAGUGCAUUCAGGAUUUCUAAUUGCGAGGAAUGCUUAAUAGUGAAAGACUGGAGCAAAAUUGUGAAUGAUCGCAGAGAAGUACUAGGGGGCAGCAAUCAAAAGCACAGCCCAUGAUUAGGAGACAGGUUCAUCUGCAUGCUACAACUUGAUGAAGGAGGAGUGCUAUACAUGUUUUAUGUUAUUUUACCUGAGAGAGAGAAGCAAGAGUGAUUAGCUAGCUAGAAACGAGUUUGAAGAUGAUAUGUGCUACACUAUGACUAUGAUGAUUAAAUAGCUAGUGUUCGUGGUAAUGACUAUGAUGAUUAUUAUUAGCUAGUGUUGGUGGUGAUUAGCUAGCUAGAAUGAGUUUGAAGAUGAUGAUGUGCUACACUAUGACUAUGGUGAUUAAAUAAAUACUGUUGGUGGUAAUGACUAUGAUGAUGAUUAAAUAGCUUGUGCUGGUGGAUUAGAUUCAAGUGGAGGCAACAUGUGGUGCACAUCUAAAGUACUACUAGUCCAAACUAGAUCAAGUUUCGAUUAGUAGUAUACUUUUGACAUGCACCACAUAUUGCCUCCACUUGAACCUAAUCCACCUUCAUUUGACACACUGUUAUGGACAUAAUGAUAUAAACCUCAUAAUUGGUAUUGUACCAAAAUUUGUAUAACGUCGUAUAAAUACACUAAAAAUGAAAAAAGAGUACUAGUAGCGAUGGAUAAGAAACACGCUACAACUAGCUAGAUUAGCAGCAGCGCGGGACAGAACAAGUGCUGCCGCUAUGUGUCUUAGCAGUAGCGCCUGUCGCACGCGCUACUGCUAAGUAAUAGCUGUAGCGCCUUAUUGGUAGCGCGGCUGCCCGCGCUACCAGUGGGAUUUAAACCCGCGCUACUACUAGGGUUUUCCCUAGUAGUGGUCCGUCCGGAAACCUAAGGUUAUGUCCCACUACUAAAUGAAUCUACGUGUGAAUAUAGUUUUGUUAUCAGAUAUUUUCUGGAACACUUUCAACAGAUACCUUGACCAUUGCAUUUUGAUUCAAUUUUAUUACGUGUUGUGAUGUAUUAUUUAAACUUUUAUAUUUGUUAUUUCUCCAGAAAAUAAUGAGUCUGACUUCCUUUAUUGUUGAUCAAUUUUUAUUAUUUCUCUAACCGAUUCAAAAACAAUGCAUAUAUCUAGAUAUGUGCAUUAACAUGUUUAUAUCAAAAACUAUACACUCCCUCCGUCACAAUUUAUUUUUUCCUCAUAUUUAGUUUUAAAUUUCAUCAUCAAUUGGAGGAAUGUCAUAGAAAAUAUAUAAUAAAAAUAUAUAUUGACCAUGAGAUCAACAAUAUAUUUUUAUGAUGCAUAACUAAUAUUUUAUCAUUGGUCGAACUCCAUCAUUCAAAUCUGUAGUGUUGUAUAAAGUCUUGUACAUGUAUGAGCUGGCUCUGCGAAUAAAGAAGAGAUAAUCUGCAUCAUAAUAGAAAAUUAUUAUUUAUUUAUUUAUUUUCGCCAUCCUUACAUCUUAAUUAAGCACAACAUACAUGAUUUAUUGCUUCAAAUUAAAGAGCAUCACUCUAGUUUCAUAUAUCAAGAAAUCAUAAUAAACAUGUCUGGGCCAUCGAUAAGCAUUGUUCUAGUAUAAUAAACAAGUUAUGAUUUGUGCUUAAAUAUAGAGCCGGUUAGAUGACAUCAUAAAAACCAUGGAUGCAUGUGCGCGCUCAUGGCGGCUGGGUGCAUCUUAAUUAUACAGAGGUCAGGUAUGAAUGCAUUAUACUUGUAUUGCCUUUUAUGAUUCAAUAAAAGCGUCAUCUAUCAAAGAAAAAUUCUAGCGGCUAAACAAAACAUCUACACCAUCUAGAGAAAGUUCUAGCAUUUUCUCCAUGCCGAAAUCACAUGAAUACCACAAAAGACAGGUGACUUGCCAACAACAUCAUAGAGCUAGCAACUUUAAAAGGUUACUUUUAAAGGAUAUAUCCCCGAUCUCUGCAUCUGCAUGACUGCAUCAAUUGAUGCACACAGUCGACCAGAUAGAAAAAAACAUGAUUGCCUCAAACUAUCUCAUCAGCACCAGCCGAGCACCCUUAACCAGUGGAUUUUUCAAACUCUUCCAACACCAUCUGAGCCCAUGAUCCCAAAAAGAAAUUAACAUAGCAAAAUGUAGAAGGAUUCUUCAUGUGGAGUUCCACGGUUCACGGUGACCGUAUCGACAAAGAUCAUAGUGAUCCAGGAGGUGGAUUGUUUUUGUUUGGUUGAGAAGCUACUCAUACUGGGAAUGGGGAAGUAUUUCAGGCUUGUGAUUCGCUUGGUGAAGAUUCUUAUUUCUCAUUUUGACAAAGUUGCAUACAUUGGCCACACUGCUAGGAGAAUAUGCACGUGUCGUGAUCAUAACUAUAUCAGAUCGAUUAUCGGGGUAGAACAUCGACUGUAACCUAAUGGACUGGAUGAUCAGUUGAUCACUGGAGCAGAAAAAGUCCGAUGGAAAUGGAGAGGUGUCACUUGUUUUUGGAAACAUAACUUCUUGGAUCAUUAGUUGGUGCUAGGAGUUGAGAAUCAAUACUCGUUUUCCUUUUACUAUACCCACUAGCUAGGCAGACUAGUUGAUCACUCUCGCUGGAACUGAAAAUUUCUAAUAGAAACAGAAAGGUGAUUGCCACCUAGAGCAAUAUGCUCCAACAUUUGCAUCUGCUUUUGUGAGGACCUUCUUCUUGAGCAGCUGCGCAGAUCAUAGAAAAAUCCAAGGGAAUUGUAGGUCAUCAAUAGGGCUAGGCGCCGCCUACUGGAAGGAAGAAUGUGUUCGCCAUUCCACCCUGAGCUGCCCUAGUGGCCAGGGCUAUGAUGUAAAGGAAGAUGACCCUAGCUUUUUGUCCUAUAAUUUAGUCGCUAGAUGCCACCAUGUUUAUGCCAUAUAUACUAGCCGUGGCAACUGUCCAUCGAGGGAUGUACGAUUUAGUGUUGCUAUAAAAGAACUCGGAUAAAGAUUAGGGCUCUCCAAAAAAGAGCAUUUUGAAAAGUAAGUUUUGAACAUCCAGUCUUCAGUCACGUUUAUGGGAUAGAAAUUAGCAUACAAAGCCGAUCGGCCGCCGCAGACUGCACAUUAUUCUACACUUUCUCAAAAAGACUGCUGCUGGAUGUUCCUACUAAUCUAUGGUGAAGCUAGCUAGAGUGAAGGCUCACUGUCUCCAUGCUCGGGAUCGGUGCUAAUGGGAUGGCUAAACAAUGGGUUUUUGGUAAGGUUGAAUCGGCGACUAGGGACCUUUUUGACCUACCGACUGAUAUGGAUGUGGUGCUCCUCUGCGGUGGAGGGGGAGGAUGAUUCCGGGCCGCAGUCCCAUGUGGCGGCAUCGGCGAUGAGGACGUAGAGAGGAGGAGGGGAGAACGAAUGGCCGCGGGAGGAGUGGCGGAGCUUCACUAGGGCCAAGGGGGGCUAUGCCCCCCCCCUACCCUAGAGAAAGUAUAUGAAAUACCAUUGAUUGGUAAGCUAAAAUUUUAAAAUUAUCAGUUUAAACAGAAUAUGCCCUUUUGGCUCCCCAAAACUCUGCUUUUCCCCCUCAACGAUAUCUAUCAAGCUCCACCACUGCGCGGGAGGAGUGGAGGCGACCCCGGCGUCACUUGUUAAGCCGUGUCAUCUUGCUCGGAUAGCACCGCGCCCUGCCACCAUAGUGCCACCCUCAGCAUGCAUCCGCAUCAUAGUGCGGACGCAACCGUGCGGAAGAGGCGGUGCGGGUGCGAGCUGAGGAGUGGCAGGAUGGACAUGAGGCCAAGAGCCAUCCCGGGAAUGAGAAUCGGGUCACUGGGGAAGAGCCACGCGACGAGGAGCACUGGGCCGCCUCCCAGUGCAGCUCCUAGGCUUCCGGCGACGCAUUUCCCGGUCACAUUGCGGAAAGAGCCGCCACAUGGUCGUAAUACUUCCGCAAAAGUCCAUGACAAGAGAUGCAAACUUGCAUGACUACUAUAUACACCACUAAUGGCCUUUUGCGGAAGUAUUACAACCAUGUGGCGGCGUCGGUGAUGAGGACGCGGGGAGGAGGAGGGGAGAACGAAUGGCCGCGGGAGCAGUGGCAGAGCUUCACUAGGGCCAAGGGGGGCCAUAGCCCCCCUACCCUAGAGAAAGUAUAUGAAAUACCAUUAAUUGGUAAGCUAAAAUUUUAAAAUUAUCAUAGUUUAAGCAAAAUAUGCCCUUUUGGCUCCUCAUAACUCUCCUUUGCCCCUAAAGCGUACCCUCUUGCUCCGCAAACGCCCCGCUCUGACACCACAAGGCCGCUCUCAGCACGCAUCCGCAGCACAGUGCAGACGCAGCCGUGCGGACGAGCCAGUGCAGAUGCGCGCUGAACUGUGGAGCGACGCACAAGAGGGCAAGCGCCACCUUGGCAACCAGAACAGGGUCGCCGGGGCACGAGAAGCACUGGGCCGCCUCCCAGUGCAACGCUUAGGAUCCCGACAACAGACUGCCCGACCACCUUGGGGAAAGACCCACCGAGGUGUAUUGGCGCAACAAAGCAUUUGAGGAUGGAGAGUAGGUAGGCUACACAGAGAGUGUGGAGCUCCUCCAACGACGAGAGAAUGAUGGCCAGGAAAGAAACGGUGUACACCCCAGUGCAGAAGUUCCUCAGCACCACAUCCUUCAGUUUUGAAAACUCUAUUAAUUAUGAGCUAGCUAGUCAUCGCUCAUCAAAGAAUUGGGGAAAAGUGUGAGAAGGAGAACGAGAAGUGGGCCGGAGCAGGAGAAGGAGAAGCGGGGCGAGGCAAGGCUAAUAAUGAACCUUCGAUGAUCCUAAACGAGGCAUUGACCUCUGAAUUGAUGAUGCGCAUGCUGGCAGGUUUGUUCACCCCUACUAGAGGCUAACCUGGCAUCCAUGGGGGUCACUUCGAGUGAAGAUUUUCUUUUGGCUAGCACUCAGAGAUCAGUGCUGGACCGCGGAGUGCCUCGCUAGACAUGGCCUUCCGCACGGCUCUACGUGCUCCCUGUGUGACCAGGCACCGGAAACCAUGCCCCAUCUCCUCUCGGGAUGCCCGUUCACUAGGCAGGUAUGGCAUGACAUCCUUGCUUGGUGUUGGCUCCUGGUGACCAUCCCUUCUAAGGACGCCCCCUUCCUCGACUGGCUUGCUUCUUCGGCCACCGACAUCCCCUCCUGCUUGCUCCAUGGAUUCACUUCGCUUGCACUGCUCAUUACCCGGUGGAUCUGGAAGCAGCACAAUGAUUGCGUCUUUGAUGCCGCCCAAUCAUCCGUCUCCAGGACCUCGUCGACAAUCAUGGAGGAGGCUUGCUGCCCGGCUCAUGCGGCCAGGUGCCCUAGGACUGUGUAGCAUCUUGCCUGAGGAGUAGUUCUUCUAUUUUGGGGGCGCGUACACCCCUUCUCUGUUGUACGCAUUAACCUCCUGACUCACGCCGGGCCGCAUGUUUGUGCUCAUUAGAGGUUUCUGUAAUUGUUCUUGCUACUAUUUCUACCUAUCAGUGCAAUGAUACGCAAGUCUUUUGCGUAUUUGCAAAAAAAUAACAAUUUCCUAACAUCAUAAUUGCCCGUGGAUAGUUACUCCAAUGGAUGGAGUACUUAUAGUUUGCUUCUUGGGCCACUCAAAGACGAUACUUCUUUGAUCAACAAUUUAAGUAAACAAAUAUGUAUUGUACAUGAAGAAAAGUAUAUGAUGAAAAAUAUCAUCCUUAUAUGAAUCCAUUGUUGAUGGUUUUGAUGAUAAUAACACAUAUUUGGUUGUCAAAUUGUUGAGUUCAGAAUAUGUGCAUGUCCUAUGCACCCCACCAGAGGGAAAUAGUUCUGUACAAAAGAUAAUCAAAUCCAUUUUUGUUUUCCUAAGAAACUGUUUUCGAAAAUCUCCCCACCCAUUGGUUCUGCUUUUCUUCUCUCUUGACAUUGUUGCAACUUUAUCCAAGCAAAAAAAUGUAAAUAACAUUAAAAAGACUUCUUCCGAAAUAGAGUAAAAACGGCUAUGGGCUAAAUGGUGUGGAGUGUUUUUCUUGGCACAUGCUCUUUUGAUCCUCCUGAUAUGAUCAUGUGCAAUGCUUCGGGUUUCAUCUGCCUAUACCCGACCAAAGCCUCUUGUAGCCACAAUAAAGUACACAAUAGUACAUCGCAGUAGGUUGAAGUUAUAAUCCUGCCACCAAAACUAAAUGGCACAUGCUUUCGACACCUAUAGACACACAUCGCACAUGCAGCACCUGUUGGGGAACAUAGUAAUUUCACAAAUUUUCCUACGUACACGCAAGAUCAUGGUGAUGCAUAGCAACGAGAGGGGAGAGUGUGAUCUACGUACCCUUGUAGAUCGACAACGGAAGCGUUUGGUUGAUGUAGUCGUACGUCUCCACGGCCCGACCGAUCAAGCACCAAAACUACGGCACCUCCGAGUUCUAGCACACGUUCAGCUCGAUGACGAUCCCCGAACUCCGAUCCAGCAAAAUGUCGGGGAAGAGUUCCGUCAGCACGAUGGCGUGGUGACGAUCUUGAUGCACUACCGUCGCAGGGCUUCGCCUAAGCACCGCUACAAUAUUAUCGAGGACUAUGGUGGAAGGGGGCACCGCACACGGCUAAGAAUAUGAUCACGUGGAUCAACUUGUGUGUCAAGGGGUGCCCCCUGCCCCCGUAUAUAAAGGAUCAAGGGGAGGAGGCCGUCCGGCCUUCUAUGGCGCGCCAAGGAGGAGUCCUCCUCCUAGUAGGAGUAGGACUCCUACUAGGAGCGGGAAAGAAGUGGGGAGGGAGAGGGAAAGGGGGGCGCCGCCCCCCCCCCCCCCNNNNNNNNNNNNNNNNNNNNNNNNNNNNNNNNNNNNNNNNNNNNNNNNNNNNNNNNNNNNNNNNNNNNNNNNNNNNNNNNNNNNNNNNNNNNNNNNNNNNNNNNNNNNNNNNNNNNNNNNNNNNNNNNNNNNNNNNNNNNNNNNNNNNNNNNNNNNNNNNNNNNNNNNNNNNNNNNNNNNNNNNNNNNNNNNCUCCUAGUCCAAUUCGGACCAGGGGGAGGAGGCGCGCGGCCCACCUUUGGCUGCCCCUCUCUCUCUCCACCAAGGCCCAUGUGGCCCAUUACUUCUUCCGGGGGGUUCCGAUAACCCUCCGGCUCUCCGGUUUUCUUCGAAAUCACCCGGAACACUUCCGGUGUCCGAAUAAAGCCGUCCAAUAUAUCAAUCUUUAUGUCUCGACCAUUUCGAGACUCCUAGUCAUGUCCGUGAUGACAUCCGGGACUCCGAACUAACUUCGGUACAUCAAAACUCAUAAACUCAUAAUAUAUCUGUCAUCGAAACCUUAAGCGUGCGGACCCUACGAGUUCGAGAACAAUGUAGACAUGACCGAGACACGUCUCCGGUCAAUAACCAAUAGCAGAACCCGGAUUCUCAUAUUGGCUCCUACAUAUUCUACGAAGAUCUUUAUCGGUCAGACCGCAUAACAACAUACGUUGUUCCCUUUAUCAUCGGUAUGUUACUUGCCCGAGAUUCGAUCAUCGGUAUCUCAAUACCUAGUUCAAUCUCGUUACCGGCAAGUCUCUUUACUCGUUCCGUAAUACAUCAUCUCGCAACUAACUCAUUAGUUGCAAUGCUUGCAAGGCUUAUGUGAUGUGCAUUACCGAGAGGGCCCAGAGAUACCUCUCUGACAAUCGGAGUGACAAAUCCUAAUCUCGAAAUACGCCAACCCAACAUGUACCUUUGGAGACACCUGUAGAGCACCUUUAUAAUCACCCAUUUACGUUGUGACGUUUGGUAGCACACAAAGUGUUCCUCCAGCAAACGGGAGUUGCAUAAUCUCAUAGUCAUAGGAACAUGUAUAAGUCAUGAAGAAAGCAAUAGCAACAUACUAAACGAUCGGGUGCUAAGCUAAUGGAAUGGGUCAUGUCAAUCAGAUCAUUCACCUAAUGAUGUGAUCCCGUUAAUCAAAUAACAACUCCUUGUUCAUGGUUAGGAAACAUAACCAUCUUUGAUUAACGAGCUAGUCAAGUAGAGGCAUACUAGUGACACUCUGUUUGUCUAUGUAUUCACACAUGUAUUAUGUUUCCGGUUAAUACAAUUCUAGCAUGACUAAUAAACAUUUAUCAUGAUAUAAGGAAAUAAAUAAUAACUUUAUUAUUGCCUCUAGGGCAUAUUUCCUUCAGCACCAAGGAUCACCACGUGGCCAUCGAGAAGGGGAGCGUGUCCUAGAUUACCGCUCACCAAGGGAGGCCGACACUGACCACCGACAUGGUUUCCACCAGAUCGAUGGCGAUCGUCCUAGUUAAUACCUCCCUUGGUGACUUCCAAUGUUCCAAAUGGUCACAACCGUUGCUUACUUCAAAAAUAAAAAAGCGGAGGGCCUAUGAGGGUAGGUGUUAUCAGAUUUGCCGGCUUUCUUCGGUCUUGGAAGAUGGUGUGUUGAUCAAGGCAAGCAGAUGACUAAAUCUUGGUGUGGCAAUAUCGACCUCUUCUUGUGAGCUCUUUUGUGACAUGACUCGAUUUCUCCAACCCUCUGGAUUGGUAGUGAAUGAUUGCAAGUUCGUGUUGCAUGGGGUGAUGCCCAACCGACAUUCCUUCAAUGGUUAUUAGAUCUCAUUUCUAGCCACGAGGGACUAUAUUGCAAUCUUCAAAGACGGGUAUGACAAGGGCAUUCGCAAGUGUCCAUUUUACUUUAAUGUUGGUUCAGUGCACUCUUCAUGCUUCGGCAAGCGGCAUACAAUCGAAGGAAGACGACAACCAGUGUAUUUUUGACAUAAUUUUACUUUUAUUGGUGGUUUUGUGUCUUGUCAUGUUUCCAUUGUAAUGUCUAUGGUUUUCCCUCAAAUUUCAGUUACAAGAUGCCCCUUUGGAUAUCUUUUACAAAAAAACAGGUCGCAACCCUUGAUAUAUCAAUCCGAUGUCUAAUAUGAGUUUUUUAAUUUCUUUUGGUGGAGAUCAGUAGGUUAACCAAGGGAUUAACCUCCCCGCAAUUAGUUAUAGAGCUCGCCAACCAUGAAGUCGGUGCCCUAUCCAAGGAUCUCACCAACCGCAACAUGGACUCGCCGCCUCUCGGCAUUGAUCAAUAUGUUAGAGACAUUGUCCAGAUCACAAGUAUACUUGUGGUUGUGGCCAACGAUGUUGGUUCUCCUCCCCGGUCAUAUGAGUGGCUUUAGACGUAAAUGUUUGAUUUCAAAGAGACGAUGUAAAAAAAACUUUUUGAAUUAAAUUGCGCAUCGAGGGCCCAAUUCCAUUCAUGGUGAAGUUGGUAAGACAACAUUAAUGUUCUCAAAAUAGAAAAGAGAAAAAGAAGGAUGCCAUGGGCUAAACCCCAUAUAACAACACUUGGAUUAAAGUUUGUCUUUUUUAGCUAAUUAAAGUUUGUCUUCUAUCACCGCCCUAUCAAAACAAUAGACAUUUAGAAGCCUAGCUCACACCCACAUUUAGAAGCGGCAUAUCCUAUAUACCUAAGAGACUGAUCCCCACUACUUCUAAUUAUCUCAACAUAUUCCACAUCAUUGAAAUUGUUAUAGCCAUUAGACUCACUAUCUAGAUCCACUAGCAUCCAUCUGAUCUACACAUGAGAAUCCUCUAUCAUGCAACAUGCAUUUUCCAAGUUCAAAGGACGGAUCACAACCAGCACAUUAUUAUCAUUCCAAGAUACACCACAGGUCAACCUCUAAUCCUUCCGCACCCAUUGGCAGCUUGCCGACCAUCAAAAUCUCUCUUGUUGAAAACUUCAGAUGCCAACAUCAACACUAUGUGUGCCCCUAUUUCUUGCAUGUCGCACAAAUCUUGUGUAUGUAAGCCGAACAAAAAUACAUCUAGUAAGCCACCAUAACAGCUACGCAACUAGGAUCAAUUGGAAAUAAAUGUCUAAAAUAUGCCUCAUUUCUCAUUCUCUAAAUAACCUAAAUAACAUCGGCCACUCUAGGUAAAAACCAACAAUUGUUUAUUGCCAAAAAAUGUAUCACCCACUCACAUAGUCAUUCACUCCACCCCACCCCACCCCUAAUGCAACAAUGAAUGUCUAGUAAGGAUAUUGUUUCUAAGCUGGCCAUAGAAAGAUUUUAUUCCAUGUCACAGGAAACUAUUUCCGGGGAGCAAUGCUUAUUGGUUCAUGCACGAAUUUAUUAGGCCAGAGAUAUCGAUCGCAUAUGUGUUGUUUCAAUUAGAAUAAAAGCUCAAGUUUAUUGUGAGUUGUUGUGUUGUGGUCACUGAAUUCGAAAGGAACCCAACUCACUGUUUGGACUUCGAGAUCAUUUUAGCUUAGGCAUACCGUUAACUUAUGAAGUGAAAGUACUUGUCUUGUUUCAUAAUGGCAAUGACCUAGUAUAUUAAUGCAUGAAUAUUAGAACUUAACUUUACAUUUUGACAACAACCAUUGUACUCUUAAUUAAAAUAAUAGAAUUGAUUCUUAUUAUUGUUCUAAGUCAUCUAAUUUAAUAAGUAUGUCCAUCAGAAACAUUUUUGUGACUAGAAAACUAUUCAAAUUUCGAAGAAUUGGACUUCAUAGAAGUUUUCCACGUGUGGGUUGCUCAAGUUGUAGGCUUCAAUAGUACAUGAAUGUUCCAAUGAUUUCCUUCAUACUGUAUUAUUUUGCAUCCAUUCUGGCCUCUCGGAAACACUAUUUUAUAUUUCAUACGACUAGCGAAAUAAGCAUUAAUGUAAAUACAACCUCGUAGAAAUCAAGUGGGGUGAUAUUGUUAAAAAAAUGUCUCGGUUCUCAAAAUCAUGUGAAUUAAAGAUGUCCACAAUAGCAGAUUGCACUUGCUUCCAUCUUGAGUUUCCAAGGGCUUAGUUUAUACAAGUAAAAUAAACUAGAUACUGACAUCUCUUCAAUAUCUUAGGAGAAAUUUUGAAUAUAAGCAUAUAAAUUGGUUAUAACUAAAUAUGUACAAUGUUCUAGAUUGGUACUAAGAGUUUGUCUAUAUGAAAUCGUGUUGGGUGGACUCUAAAUUAAAUUGUGUGACGAGGACGGUGGUUUUUAUGUGGCACUCCCUAGUGAUUUUUUUGUUGAUAACAUAAAGGUUGACUAAAGUGAUGUAUGGCUAAUGAAAAACUUUAUUUAGGUUUGAAUGAGUUAAGAUGCUGAUACUUGUUGAACCGUCUGAAGUAGAUUAUGGCGAUGGGAGAAAACAAUGCAAAUCUAGCCACAUUGCUUUUACAAGUGAAACCCUAAUGGAGGACCACAAUUGGUCAUGGUUAGAUGUGAUUGUACUCUUAGCCCAUUACAGAUAAAAUUCCAUGUGUAAAUGCUCUAUGUGUCUCAUUAAAACAUAAUAUUUGCAUAGUGUGAGGUCACCUUUAUCUGCCCAUAGUUGAUAGUGAAGCACAUGCAUCAACUUAUUUAAUCUUAGUACUCCAUGAUUCCAAUAUUUGAGAAGUGUUGUGCGAGUGUAUGGAUGGGUGCGCACUCGCGCACACUUGCCUAUGACAUAUGUGCAUGUGUGUGUGUGCCCUUGUAAAAACUCCAAAUCUAAAAGUAUCUUAUAAGUAAGGCUAUUAUUUUCGAGGAAGCAACGUAUGAGUGUGAUUUAUCAUCUAUUUUUAGAGUCGGGUGUUUUAUCAUUUAUGAUGCAACCUUCAGGUGAUUUAACUGAAAACUAUCAGGCUAAAGGCCACAUAGUGUAUUCUUAACAACAUGUGUUUCCUUUACUUAUCAGGCUGAAGCUUCCCAAAAACCAAGAUCAUUAUUUUCGCGACACAUCGUUAUGCUUUACAGGCAAUUCUUAUUUGCGACGGAUGAUUUCUAAGGGCAUAUACAAUGGUGUUAUCUUAUGAGUAGCACAUAGAAUAAAUAUUGAGAUGGAAGAAACAGAAACCAGAAAAAAGGGUAAAAACCAUGAUCCGCAUCCGUUUGUGGGUGCAUGAAGCUUGGCAUGUUUGUGGUGCCACGUAGGAUUGAGCUGGUGUGUGGGCAUUCACCCGGUCGCCCACACGGAGGGGCCGAUGUGUGAGCGUUUAUCAGUUCGCCCACACGCCAGUUUUCACUCACGCAUAAGGGCUGGUGUGUGAGCAUUUGCCAUCUCGCCCACACGCCCGUCUCCUCUCCCACACCCAAGCUUCCAGUUGCCAUGUGUUUUGCAGUGUACAUGGCAACUGCCCUAAUAUGCUUGUAAGCAGAUGGUAACUCUCUCUUUUUUUACCUGAGCAUGUCAGUUGCCAUGUGUUUUGCAGGGUACACGGCAACUGCCCUAGUUUGCUUGUAAGCAGAUGGCAACUCUCUCUUUUAUCCGAACAUGUUGUUUUGACAUGUCUCUUUGUAGCGCUACACAGCAACUGCCUAGUGUUAGUAGGUGGCAACUCCUGAGGUUUUUAAAUCAUGGCAACUGUAGUAAACCAGACCAUACAUGAAAACUGCUUAGUGUUAGUAGAUGGCAACCUCUAAAGUUUUCAAAUCAUGGCAACUAUAGUAAACCAGACCAUACAUGGCAACAGCAGUAGUUGUCCAAAAUGGCAUUUGGCACUUGACCUGAGAUGGCAACUGCAGUUGAGAAACCAUGGCAACUAUAGUUGUCCGACAUGGCAACUGUAGUUCAGCGACAUGGCAACUGCAGUUAAAUGGACAUUGAAGAGGUCCGGACCAUGGCAACUGCGGGGAUGCGUGGUGACUGUCACGCGGGCGUGCGGGGCCGUGAGGUAUGUGGCUGAGAGAGGUCGUGUGGGCGUUAUGCAUUUUUCCACACGUAGGCGUGUGAGAGGGACCGCAAGGAAAAAAAGAGGCGUGUGGCCGCUAGUUGUUUUGCCCACAUGUAGGCGUGUGGGCUGGUCCUCUUAGACACCAUACAAAACGUGUGGGCAGACCCUUUAACGCCCACACGUGUGGUAGUUAUUGGUGUCCUUUGUUUUUAAUAAAAAACUAUAAGCAAGUAGCAGGUGCAUUGCGCCAAAAUAGUUUAGGUGUAUACACGAUAAACAAUUGUUCGACAUAUUUUCUUUUACCAUCAGAAUGAUGAAGAGAAAUGCAUUCUUGUGUUUUUACACAAACACAUUUAGGUAAUAAAUCCUGACGAAAAUAUUUACUUUGAUGCAGUUGCCAUAUCAUGUGACCAAAUGAGAAGUCUACUUGCCUUAUCUCAUUCGCUUCUUGAUUCCUGAAGAUAUCCACAUCAGAUUGCUAUUUUCCAAAAGGUGUUUUAUCCUGAGAAAGAAGUAGAAUAUAUUAGUCGGUGGUACAAGGUAUACAGCUGUUUAAAAAUAAUUUAUGGUAUACAUACAACCGAGGGUUCGUGAUGAUGAUAAAAGUAUUAGGUACAAAAGUUAAAAAAUGUCACAUAACACAAUGAAGAUUAGGAGCUACCUAUAGAUAUAACUUUCAAUAUCUAGAGAACCAUAGGAUUCUGAAUUUUGGCAUCGGUGGAUAGAAUUCCGCACAAACUAUAACACUGUUUGUUCUUAAUAGCGGUAUCAAUCUGAUCGUUAAACUAAACCGGAUUAGUCAAUGAUCCACUGAGCAGGUGUUUACCCAGUUUCAAAAAACAUAAAAUGUCUAUGCUCCAGUUUUAAUGUGAAAAGGGUACACAUGUUGGCACACUUCAUUCAUCCAAAUACAUUCAACAUCUACCGAAUUGUCAUUGCAUGAGAAAUUCAGGUUUUAAUCUUAUGCAUAGAACCUCAUGUAGCCUGAAUGGUACACUUCGGAUGCAUUCAACAUCAAAUGAAGUGUACUAAAUGGAUCUGGAUGUACCCUUUAGUUUUAAUUCGGUUGUUGUUAUUCAUAUUCAAACUGAUGCAUACAAGCUCAUAUAGCCUGAAAUUGUCAGCACGUAAGAUUUCAAAUAAAGUGUACCCUUCAGUUUUAAUCCAAAUAAACAUCCAGAUCCCGAACUCUGAAUAAAAAUGCAUAGAAGCUAAUGUACGAUUUGUCAGCACGUAAUUCCCCAAUUCCUUCAUUCGGACCAUUCAACAUAAACCGAAUUCAAGAACACAUAUUAUAUACAUUCUGAACAAACACCACAAAAAUCAAAUAAAUUACAAACCACACAGUAAUCGAGAACCCACCAUAUCAUGGAAGCUCACCGGUGGUAGACUGCUUUGUAUCCUCACUGCAACAACUCGUGCGUCAUACGGAAGGAGGUGGACCUACGGCAGGAUGCGGGUGAGAAGACCGGGGAGAUGAGAUGACGAGCAGGAGAGUCAUCAGCGGCACAGCGCGGGCGGGCGCCGGGAGCAGCAAGCAACAAAGGCAAGAAGCAGCGGCAAGCAAAGCAACCACCAGCAACAAGCGUCAAAGCAAGCAGCCAGCAGCGGCAACAACAGCA